rnacentral:rRNA from 1 species
UACGAGGGGGGCAAAUGUUGUUCGGAAUCACUGGGCGUAAAGGGAGCGUAGGCGGGCUUCUAAGUUAGAUGUUUAAUCCCGGGGCCCAACCCCGGACAGGCACCUAAAACUGGAAGUCUUGAAUAGUGGAGAGGACGGCGGAAUUGGGGGUGUAGCGGUGGAAUGCGUAGAGAUCCCCAAGAACACCAGUUGCGAAGGCGGCCGUCUGGACACAUAUUGACGCUGAGGCUCGAAGGCAUGGGGAGCAAACAGG